rnacentral:rRNA from 1 species
AUGAGCUUCGCUCAAGAGCAUAGCUCAUACCAAAACAAUUACUCACAUGGGUGGCCUAAAAACCCGAAUAUGUCAUAUAGGAGCAAUAACCCUGAGAUCUCAUCGUUUGCCUCCAGUUAUCCAAUGCAGGGAUUUAGGUACAAUGAGGAGAGCCACAACUAUGCACCACAACAAUUUCAUUCAACUCCUACUCAUAUACCACAGUACCAGGAGAUGUGUCCAAUGGAGUUAAAUGGUCCUCCAUUUGGUCAACCAACAACUCCAGCACCUAUUGUGCAAUCUCAUGUGCAAGUGCCCACACAAGAUGAGUUCGAUGACAUAGACAAGCUCACACUUUUGAGUCUCGAGUUUACUUGGAGUGUCAAGGAUGAUCCUAUUAGGAAGGUUAUACUAGAGGAAAUGAAGAAGAUUAAGAGUGGAAAGGAGCUAGUGGAAGAAGUAAGGAAGAUUGAGAAGAACAUCAACGCUGGCAGUACUAUCUCUUCCCUCCUUGAGUUGAGUGUUGCUGGGAUAUCCCUUGAGGUGUGUGAGGUUCCAACACCUUCACAUUCAGCUGAGCAAGAUAGCGAGAGUCCAAAGGAAGAGAUACUUCAGAUCCAAGAAGAAAUUCUCGAAGCCAAGGCACAAGAUGAUCCAGAGCUUGAAUACCCAAAUGAACAAGUUGAAGAUCCAAUGUCAACCACUCCCGAAGAAGUAGAAGAAGCUGUUGUAGUUGAAGAUGAAGAACUAGAAAUUCAUUUGCCUAUUGUCAUACAAGAGCGUGAUGUAUCAAGUUUCUGCUUGUGCACAAAUGAAUACAUGCUGACCAGGUUCGAGGUGACAUCCCUUGGGAUCCCGGUGGAGUCAGAGCAUGGCGAUGAGAAGCAAGGGCACACAUGA